GCUGCCGCGGCCCCAGCGACCCCAGCCAGACCUCGACCCCGGCGCGCUUUAGCCCCGCCCCGGAGCCGCCAUUUUGUGGCGUCUUCGGGAGAGAAGGCGGGACUGAGGCCGCCGGGUCAACGCGUCUGGGCCGCGACUAGCUCCUCUAAGUUUGCGUGGCGAAAACGGCCCAAGGCGUCUCCAGAAACCCGCCGCGGCACCGGCCUCCGCGCCUCAUCCGCCCCCCAGAGUCCUACCGGCCAAUCCACACGCAGCGCCCCGGGAACGAUUGCGUGGAGGCCCAAUAAGCGCGGCGCGCGCGCGUCCCUGCCGACACUCCGCAGGACCGGGCUGCGGCAAGUGCGUCCCGCCCGCCGGCUAGGCCCGCGUACCACCGCGCGGCAGUCCUCCGUGCGUGCAUAAUAGCCCGUACUAACCUCCGUAGCCUUGCUCCAUGUCUUCGACGCGACCCGCCAGCAGACCCUGUUCUUAGCUUUCCUCAGAACGCAUGCGUUCAACGUGCCGUCUGCUACUGAAAACGAAGGACGUACGUCUCUCCUCCUGGGCACUACCAUUGGUUGGCCUCCAACUGAGCCCGCCCCCGCCGUCCCGCCUAGCCUUCCGGGUUGCUAGGCUAUGGAGUUGGGUUUCAAGGGUAAGCUAGUGCGCAAGAGCCUCCAGGUUCGCGCACGCGUGAGCUGCUCUAGCGCGUCCAUCCGCGCGCAAGCGCACUUAGUCUCCGGACACUUUGCAGAGCCCCGCCCUCACUAGUCAGGAACAACACAAAUAAAGACCUGGGGUAGGAAAGCACUUUAUUAAGCUGGGCUUCCAGCCUCGGCCACGCGAGCCCUGCCCGCUCUCGGAACGGGUUAUGGAGCACCCCCACCGCCCUCCUCGUCGUCUUCCACGUCGAGACCCGGGAUCCCUCGGAUCUGGCACUGCAGCGCCCCGCCCAGCAGGGGUACUGCGCCCUCCUCCUCCUCUGGAGGCGGUGGAGGUGGCGGUGUUGCAGUCUCCGGGGCGGGCUCCAGGGGAACCGGGGGCUGUGCCGGCACGCCCUCUGCGAGCCCUGAAGCUUCGCCUGGUGCUCCCUCAUCCAGAGCGCCACCCUCCACCUCGUCUUGCUCCUUCUCCUCCUCCGGGCUGUCGGUGAAAGGAUUCUCACCCUGUAGAAAUUGAUGGAGACCUUAAAAGGAGGAAGGAUUGACGGGGCAGUACUGGGACCAUGCCCACGAAGAGAUCAAGGGCUAGGACAGCGCCUUGGCCUUUUUGUCUCACCUUUAGAUAGCGCUCCAGCUUCUUGCUAAUGAGCUUGUUGUUGAGAAUACUGCGGGCCACCAUGAGAGAGGACUUCUUGGACUGCUCCAUCAUGAGCUAUGGGUAGGGCAAACAGGGCUGGUGAGGCUGCUCUGGGAGUCCAGCAAACCCAGCUGAGGCUCAGAUUUCACCAAUAACUAUACCUAAUGUCCAGUCACUCUACAAGCAUGGAAGUAACUAGGAAUGUCCGAUCUUGCUGAAAUGCUCCAUUUAUCCACACCACAUUUACUGUAUGUGAAAUCUGAUUUGCUUACAAAGAAACUAUAGUACAAGCUGUAACUCCAGCUACCCAAAGCCAAAUGCAAGGCCUACCUGGACUUCAGAGUUCAAAGGCUACCUGGGCAACUUAGACUAUGUCUCAGAAAACAAAAAGAUGGCUGGAGGCUGGAGAGAUGGCUCCGUGGUAAAAGCACUUGCUACUCUUUCAAAGACUCAGGUUCGAUUUCCAGCACCCAUACCGUGGGUAACAACUAUCUCUAACUCCAGUUCCAGGGGAUCUGAUACCCCCUUCUGGCCACCACAGGCAACCAGGCACUUGCAUGUAUUUUAUUUCAAGAAUGUUGCUAGAUUCUUACUGAGUCACCCUUGCAGUCCAGGAUCCCUCACUGAACCUGAGGCUCAUCAAUUUAUCUAGACUGGCUGAUCAAAGAGCUUUAGGAAUCUACCUGUCUCUGUGUCCCUGGGACCUGAGAUGAUUAUAAGAAGCCAAGACUGGCUGUUUCCACGGUC